rnacentral:lncRNA from 7 species
UGUUUUCUUCUUUAAAAGCCUGGAAGGCUCGUGUGGAAAUCUUUUGUUGGCCAGUGCCUUUUGUGAUGAUUUUGAAUUAUUGAAACUUCAAUCAAGCCCAAUUGUAAUACUUGACCUUACAGUGGACCAGAAGAAACUCAGAUCAGAGCACAGCCAAGAAUUUAAGAAAGUUCAGUAAUGCAUGUGGAAAGAAUAAGUUUCCUGCACAGGAACAAGAAGUUGAUGAACAGGAAUGUAUAUGCUGGUUCCACACAUAAGCCUCAGCACAAAAUUAAAGAUAAAAGAGCAUUGAGAUGGCUAGAUGAUCACUUGGCCCUGGAAAUUUGACGUAUGAAGAGAACACUAGUGUGAAGCCAUACAAACAGUGGGCAAAGCUGACAGAGAGGCUGGGGUGGCAGAACUGAAGUUGGCGGUACUGCUGCCAGGUGCACGGCACACAACUCGUGGUCGGACAGCCAGGCCAGAAGCUCUGAACAAAGACCCAGGUGCUGCUCAGAAACAGUGAGGCAUUCCUGCUCAAUGUUCUGGCUGCCCACCUAAUGAAGAGCAGUGAAUUGAAAAUGAAAUUGCUCAUGGUUGGAGUACUUUUGUGGAAAUGCAUCCCUUCAAAGUUCAGAGUCAAGAAAGAUGGCAAAGCUUCAAGCAACGUGUUUCUUUAACGCAUUUAAAAUAAUUUAUGUGAAUAUAUAACCAUCUAUGCCCACGCAAAUACAAGUAUAUGUAGGUGCUGGAAAAGGAAAGCCCGGUAUGCUGGAAAGGAGCAGCUGAGGUGGUAACUGUAGUGCUUUGGACAAGCAGUCAUCUCUCGUUGUGGAGACUGCCGUGGCUUGGCACUGGAAGGAAGGAAGGUCUUGUUGGCACCAGGUGGGGACACCGAGACACAGGGCUGCAGCAUGAUUAGCCCCAUGUUUUUCAGCAAAGCAUGAGGACAGCAUGUGGCUGCACCAGUAGUGAGGACCUUCUGGUCUCUUCUUUGCUACCAUCUUGCAACCCUUCCCAAAGCGUGCUGCAGGCCCAGCUCCAAUGCUUCAUCAAGAUCCAGGAACUCCCAGAGCUGCCCACGGUCAUGUCACACAGGUUAACACAGGCUUUCAUGGCCUUGCUGCAAUGAGCAGGACUGAAGUGGAAAGUGAUGAGCCUGCUGAGGUCGUCUGGAUGCAGUGAUGUGAAGAGGCAGUAGUUUUCCAGGCUGAUAUUCAGUCUGGAGCCGUAGCACUGAUGCUCCAAGACUGUCACUUCUUUGUGAAACUAUGACUGCUAAAAAGAAACAUUUAUUUUCUUCAUUUGCAAGGCUGUGAAAACACACUCACCUUCCUGCGGACGUGUGCGGAGCAGAGGUGUCAGCUCACCCCAUGCAGCCUGAUGUGGACUACGUCAGUGUGGUCACCCACCCCCUGGAUGAGGUAGUCCUGGCUCCUUCGGGUCAGGCCUCGCAGUACAAAGGCUGCAGAGCUGCAGAAAGGGAGAAGACAAGGAGGGCUGCGCCUAGCCUUUAUCUCUUGCAUGCUUUGGCCCCAUGAAGAACUCCAGCAUGUCUGCCUGGUGAACAACGGGUUGAAUGCCUGGUGAUGUCCAGUGAGUCAGGAACAACCCACAUUGAGGUUAGACAUCAACACAGAGCAAGACACCUUCUCCAGCUCUGCAAGAACCGGGAAUUGAGUUGGGGGAAUCUCUCUUUCACCUGUCUGCCAAAAUCCCCUUGUUAAAAUAAGUAUCACCCUACGUCAAAUAUGUCAAAUAAAUGCUUGCCUAUUAAGGCAAGCUUGCAACGCUAUUUAAAACAGAAGUGGCAAAACAUUAAAACUGAAAGUAACAGCAUGCUCCC